rnacentral:rRNA from 1 species
CAUUUCUGCAAAAGCUUCGCUUUUGGAAUAUGCACGAGCGGCGGACGGGUGAGUAAUGCCUGGGAAUUUGCCCUUUUGUGGGGGAUAACAGUUGGAGACGACUGCUAAUACCGCAGACGCCCUACGGGGGAAAGCAGGGGAACUUCGGGCCUUGCGCUGAUGGAUAACCCCAGGUGGGAUUAGGUAGUAGGUGAGGUAAUGGCUCACCUAGGCCACGAUCCCUAUCUGGUCUGAGAGGAUGAUCACCCACACUGGGACUGACACACGGCCCAGACUCCUACGGGAGGCAGCAGUGGGGAAUAUUGCACAAUGGGGGAAACCCUGAUGCACCCAUGCCGCGUGUGUGAAUAAGGCCUUCCGUUUUAAAAUCUCAUUCAGCGAGGAGGAAAGGGUGUAAGUUAAUACCUUACAUCUGUGACGUUACUCGCAGAAGAAGCACCGGCUAACUCCGUGCCAGCAGCCGCGGUAAUACGGAGGGUGCGAGCGUUAAUCGGAAUUACUGGGCGUAAAGCGUGCGCAGGCGGUUUGUUAAGCGAGAUGUGAAAGCCCCGGGCUCAACCUGGGAACCGCAUUUCGAACUGGCAAACUAGAGUCUUGUAGAGGGGGGGUAGAAUUCCAGGUGUAGCGGUGAAAUGCGUAGAGAUCUGGAGGAAUACCGGUGGCGAAGGCGGCCCCCUGGACAAAGACUGACGCUCAGGCACGAAAGCGUGGGGAGCAAACAGGAUUAGAUACCCUGGUAGUCCACGCCGUAAACGAUGUCUACUCGGAGUUUGGUGUCUUGAACACUGGGCUCUCAAGCUAACGCAUUAAGUAGACCGCCUGGGGAGUACGGCCGCAAGGUUAAAACUCAAAUGAAUUGACGGGGGCCCGCACAAGCGGUGGAGCAUGUGGUUUUAAUUCGAUGCAACGCGAAGAUCGUUACCUACUCUUGGACAUCCAGAGACUUUCAGAGAUGGAUUGUGCUUCGGGACUCUGAGACAGUGCUGCAUGCUGUCGUCAGCUCUGUUGUGAAUGUUGGUAAGUCCCGCACGAGCGCAUCCCUAUCCUACUGCCAGCGGUAUGCCGGACUUUAAGGAACUGCGUGAUAACCGGAGGAGGUGGACACCUCAGUCAUCAUGCCUUCGAUAGCUACACGUGCUCAUGUCGUCAAGUGCAUCCACGUGACGAUUCUCUAAUAGGCGAAU